GACAGGGGGCUCGAGCGUUAAUCGGAAUCAUCGUGGCUUAAAGGGUGCGUAGGCGGGCCAGUAAGCGUCUUGUGAAAUCCCCGGCUCAACCGGGGAACCGCGGGGCGAACUGCUGGUCUAGAGGAAGCUAGAGGCGGGUAGAACGAUAGGUGGAGCGGUGGAAUGCGUAGAUAUCUAUCGGAAUGCCGAAAGUGAAGACAGCCCGCUGGGGCUUUCCUGACGCUGAGGCACGAAAGCGUGGGGAAGCCAACGGGGAUUAAGAAACCCGUUGUAACGUCCGA
rnacentral:rRNA from 1 species